AUUGAACGCUGGCGGCAAUGCCUUACACAUGCAAGUCGAACGGCAGCACGGGAGAAAUCCUGGUGGCGAGUGGCGAACGGGUGAGUAACAUAUCGGAACGUGCCCAUCAGUGGGGAUAGCCCGCGAAAGCCGGAUUAAUACCGCAUACGACCUACGGGUGAAAGCAGGGGAUCGCAAGACCUUGCGCUAUUGGAGCGGCCGAUAUCAGAUUAGCUUGGNGGUGGGUAAGAGCCUACCAAGGCGACGAUCUGUAGCUGGUCUGAGAGGACGACCAGCCACACUGGGACUGAGACACGGCCCAGACUCCUACGGGGAAGGCAGCAGUGGGGAAUUUUGGACAAUGGGCGC
rnacentral:rRNA from 1 species